rnacentral:rRNA from 1 species
GGUCAAGCUAAAAAGGGCGCAGGGCGAAUGCCUUGGCACUAGGAGCCGAUGAAAGACGUGAUAAGCUGCGAUAAGCUGCGGGGAGCUGCAAAUAAGCGUUGAUCCGCAGAUUUCUGAAUGGGGAAACCCACCAAAGUGAAGCUUUGGUACCGUAUGCUGAAUUCAUAGGCAUACGGAGGGAACCACCUGAACUGAAACAUCUAAGUAGGGUGAGGAAAAGACAUCAACCGAGAUUCCGCAAGUAGUGGCGAGCGAACGCGGAAGAGGCCAAACCAAAGGUGGAAACACCUUUGGGGUUCGGACUGCUUUAAGGACUGCAAUUGCUAAUCGAAGGGCAUGGGAAGGCCCACCAAAGAGUGUGAGAGUCACGUAGAUGAAAGCGAGAGCAGCUGCGCAGUAUCCAGAGUACGGCCAGACACGUGAAACCUGGUCGGAACACGGGGGGACCACCCUCCAAGCCUAAAUACUACCUAGUGACCGAUAGCGUAUAGUACUGUGAAGGAAAGGUGAAAAGGACCCCGGGAGGGGAGUGAAAUAGAACCUGAAACCCUGUGCCUACAAGCACCGAGAGCACGUCAAAGUGUGAUCGGGUACUUUUUGUAGAACGGUCCGGCGAGCGACUGUAUGCAGCGAGGUUAAGUUGUUAAGCAACGGAGCCGAAGCGAGAGCGAGUCUGAAUAGGGCGAGUUAGUUGCAUGCAGUGGGCCCGAAACCGGGUGACCUAUCCAUGAUCAGGUUGAAGUGGAGGUAAAACUCCAUGGAGGACCGAACCGACCUCCGUUGAAAAGGCGGCGGAUGAAUUGUGGAUAGCGGAGAAAUUCCAAUCGAACCCGGAGAUAGCUGGUUCUCCCCGAAAUAGUUUUAGGACUAGCCUCAUGUUAGAUUACCGGAGGUAAAGCACUGAAUAGCCUAGGGCCCGAGAGGGUACCGAAGCUUAUCAAACUAAGAAUGCCGGAUAAUCGAUGCAUGGGAGUCAGACUGUGUGAGAUAAGUCUCAUAGUCAAAAGGGAAACAGCCCAGAUCUACAGCUAAGGUCCCAAAGCAGGUUUAAGUGGAAAAGGAUGUGAAGUUGCUAAGACAACCAGGAUGUUGGCUUAGAAGCAGCCACUCAUUCAAAGAGUGCGUAAUAGCUCACUGGUCGAGUGACUUUGCGCCGAAAAUUCAACGGGGCUAAAACCUGCACCGAAGCUUAGGCAGCCACCUAGUGGCUGGGUAGGGGAGCGUUGUGUACGAGGUGAAGCGUUAGCGUAAGCGGACGUGGAUUGUACACAAGUGAGAAUGCCGGAAUGAGUAGCGCGAAUGAUGUGAGAAUCAUCAUGGCCGAAAGCCUAAGGUUUUUGGAGGAAGGUUCGUCCGCUCCAAGUUAGCCGGGAGCUAAGGUGAGGCCGAAAGGCGUAGCCGAUGCACAUACGGUAGAGAUUCC